GAUGAAGAACGCAGCGAAAUGCGAUACGUAAUGUGAAUUGCAGAUUUCAGUGAAUCAUCGGAUCUUUGAACGCACAUUGCGCCCGCUAGUAUUCUGGCGGGCAUGCCUGUUCGAGCGUCAUUUCAACCAUCAAGCCCUAGGCUUGCGUUGGAGCCCUGCGGCUGCCGCAGACUCCCAAAUCCAGUGGCGGGCUCGUCGUCGUACCGAGUGCAGUAAACAUCCUCGCUCAGGGAACGUGACGGGUUCUUGCCGUGAAACCCCCCACAUAUCAAGGUUGACCUCGGAUCAGGUAGGAAUACCCGCUGAACUUAAGCAUAUCAAUAAGCGGAGGA
rnacentral:misc_RNA from 1 species